rnacentral:rRNA from 1 species
CAUGCUGCCUAGAAAAGCCCAGCAGCGAGUUGACAUGGUGCCCGUACCCCAAACCAACACAGGUGGACAGGUAGAGCAUACCAAGGCGAGUGGGAUAACUAUGGUUAAGGAACUCGGCAGAUUGCCUCCGUAACUUCGGGAGAAGGAGGACCCCAGUAGCGUGAUGAGUCUUGCUCUCUGAGCGUGAAGGGGUGGCACAAAAUUGAGGGAAGCGACUGUUUACCAAAAACACAGCAGCGUGCUAAGCCGUAAGGCGCUGUAUACGCUGUGACUCCUGCCCGGUGCUGGAAGGUUACGGGGAUGGGUUAGUCCUUCGGGACGAAGCUCUGAACCUAAGCCCCAGUAAACGGCGGCCGUAACUAUAACGGUCUUAAGGUAGCGAAAUUCCUUGUCGGGUAAGUUCCGACCUGCACGAAUGGAGUAACGACUUCCCUACUGUCUCAACCAUAGACCCAGCGAAAUUGAAGUACGAGUAAAGAUGCUCGUUAGCUGCAGAAGGACGGAAAGACCCCGUGGACCUUUACUAUAACUUGAUGUUGUGUUUUGUCAUAUGUUGUGUAGGAUAGGUGGGAGACUUGGAAGCAUGGACGCUAGUCUGUGUGGAGUCAUCGUUGAAAUACCACCCUGCAUAUGGUGAGGCUCUAACCUAGACCCGUUAUCCGGGUUGGGGACAGCGUCAGGCGGGUAGUUUAACUGGGGCGGUUGCCUCCUAAAGAGUAACGGAGGCGCCCAAAGGUUCCCUCAGCCUGGUUGGCAAUCAGGCGUUGAGUGCAAUGGCAAAAGGGAGCUUGACUGCGAGACCUACAAGUCGAGCAGGAGCGAAAGCUGGGCAUAGUGAUCCGGCGGUUGCGUGUGGAAGCGCCGUCGCUCAACGGAUAAAAGGUACCCCGGGGAUAACAGGCUAAUCUUGCCCAAGCGUCCAUAGCGACGGCAAGGUUUGGCACCUCGAUGUCGGCUCAUCGCAUCCUGGGGCUGAAGCAGGUCCCAAGGGUUGGGCUGUUCGCCCAUUAAAGCGGUACGCGAGCUGGGUUCAGAACGUCGUGAGACAGUUCGGUCCCUAUCCUCUGCAGCCGGAGGUGAAUUGAGGAAAGCUGUCCCUAGUACGAGAGGACCGGGACGGACGCAGCUCUCGUGUGCCAGUUGUCCUGCCAAGGGCAUGGCUGGUUAGCGACCUGCGGAAAGGAUAACCGCUGAAAGCAUCUAAGCGGGAAGCCUCUUCCAAGAUGAAUUCACCCACAGGGUUAACCUGGUAAGGCCCGUGGUAGACCACCACGUUGAUAGGCCGGAAGUGUAAGCGUGGCAACACGUUCAGCUGACCGGUACUAAUCGGCCGAGGGCUUGAGU